UAAAAAACAAAAUAAAUAGUAUUUUUCAAUUUACCUAAACAAGUACUGUAGUGCAAUCUCUUUAUCAUGCAAGUUGAAAAACCGGUUACCUACCUCUCAUAACUGUUGUUCUUCGAGAUGUGUUGCUCAUGUCCAUUCCAAUAAGUGUGUGCACACGAUUGUCGAAAGGUUUUUCCCCUAGCGGUACACGAAGGGUCGACUGUGAAGCACCCUGGAGUGGCUCCCUCAUGGCGGUGUCUAUAGGACACUGCCGACCCGCCGCCUGCUCAGUCCCUUCUUGCCAGAAGACUCCGACAGAGGGGAGGUGGAUGGGAUUUGGAAUGGACAUGAGCAACACAUCUCGAAGGACAACAGUUACGAGAGGUAGGUAACCGGUGUUUACACUUUCACGAUAAAGAGAUUGCACUAUAGUACU